rnacentral:rRNA from 1 species
GUGCCAGCAGCCGCGGUAAGACGGAGGGGGCAAGCGUUGUUCGGAAUUAUUGGGCGUAAAGGGCUCGUAGGCGGAUCGGCAUGUCUGGCGUGAAAUCUCCACUGCUCAACAGGGAGGGGCCGCUGGAAACUACCGAUCUGGAGUUCGGCAGAGGACCAUGGAAUUUCGGGUGUAGCGGUGGAAUGCGUAGAUAUCCGAAAGAACACCGGUGGCGAAGGCGGUGGUCUGGGCCGAAACUGACGCUGAGGAGCGAAAGCCAGGGGAGCAAACGGGAUUAGAAACCCGUGUAGUCC